rnacentral:rRNA from 1 species
CCUACGGGGGGCAGCAGUGAGGAAUAUUGGUCAAUGGACGAGAGUCUGAACCAGCCAAGUAGCGUGAAGGAUGACUGCCCUAUGGGUUGUAAACUUCUUUUAUAAAGGAAUAAAACGAGGCACGUGUGCCUUUUUGCAUGGACUUUAUGAAUAAGGAUCGGCUAACUACGUGCCAUCAGCCGCGGUAAUACGGAGGGUCCGAGCGUUAUCCGGAUUGAUUGGGUUUAAAGGGAGCGUAGAUGGGUUGUUAAGUCAGUUGUGAAAGUUUGCGGCUCAACCGUAAAAUUGCAAUUGAUACUGGCAGUCUUGAGUACAGUUGAGGUAGGCGGAAUGCGUGGUGUAGCGGUGAAAUGCUUAGAUAUCACGAAGAACCCCGAUUGCGAAGGCAGCUUACUAAACUGUGACUGACAUUGAUGCUCGAAAGUGUGGGUAUCAAACAGGAUUAGAUACCCUGGUAGUC